UGCCAGACAAUGUACGAUAGAGAACUGAAAAGAUGAUCAUCGAAAUAAACGCGGGACUGAUUGGUUGUUUCUGCUAGGUCCAACGCAAUCAUAAAGAUAAGUAUGCAUAUUAGCCAAAAAUGUGACGUAUACAAAAAGAACCAUAUAGCAAUGCAGUACUUUCACUGUCAUUGUGCUAUCCCGCUAAUUAUUUUUCCACCUGUGUUGGUACAUACAUCCACAGCUUUUCCGUGGACAACGUAUACCGAUUGGUCGCGGACAAUUGUCUGUCGGUAUGAACUAGGCUUCAGUGAACCCAGCAAAAGCUCGACUCGAUCUCCCGACCACAAUCUGUCGACUCUCCACAACCCAUAACAAUUGCCGUGUAUGCGAUCCUGUUUCCACGGCGGCAGCGGGCGACGACGGCGUCUGCGUGGCGUCAGCUGGGCGUGCCAUCUUGCACGUCUGCGUCCGUCUGCCCAUGGUAUCAGGGUGCCACGCUACCUAAGAAGCUACUUAACUCCCUCUAACGAACCAAGAGACAAGCCAACAAAACCCGAUAAGUAACAGGAGUUUCGCAGUUGGAUGAACACAGUCCGAACAUUCACGACCGAAGAAGCCAAACGAGGAACGUGAAACGACGAAGGAGGUGUUCUCUGUUCAGGAACAAGAAAGGAGGCGACGAACGAAGGGGUAAGCGGACAGAGAAUGAGUCGAGGGGAGUGAUGAUUUGGUGGAACCAAACCGGUGCUGCCAGUGCUGUCGCGACGAGGAGAGUGUCACGCUCUCUCUGCUGUGCGUGGAAGAAACGAGGAGAGGGUCGCGCUUCGAGCAAGGCGACAGGAACGCCAGGAAGUAACACGCUUGCUAUUGUGAGCAACCAGUACCACUUUGGCGGCUCUUUUUGCCUUCAUGCUGGGAUUAUUAGGAGAAAAGCGAGUCUGUCUCGUUGUUCGGCAAUAGGAGGUGGCGUUGGAGAGUCUGGAUCGAAGAGAAGGUGGUGGAGGAUUGAAAGUAUACUGGCAAGACUGGAAAGGGAUUUUUUGAGAGAUUUUCGGGAAGUUUUACAAUUACAUUUCGAUUACUUUAAACGAACAGCAUACAGGAUAUUGUGAUUCAAAAUUACUACAGAUUAUCUCCUUUGGACCUUUAAAUAUCAAUAUUUCCAUAUGAACCGCUCUCGUGAACUCACAAGAAAAUUAUGACAUUGAAGAGGUUUUAUGAAAUUGCGCUGACCCAGUUUCCACUUUCCUUGUACACGAUUGGAUUGAAUGGCGUCUCGUGGAUUGAUCCUAGUUUAAUGGGGACAGGUACUAUCGUCGCAAGAAUCUAUGCGUGGCAUUUGGGAAACGUGUACCUCUUGACGCUUGGAACAGGUGCCAUACCUACUUCUUUAACGAAAAGACAGUAAAGAUAGUCGGAAAACUUGUUAACCAAAAGCCAAUAACAUUUUACUUGGCUGGCUUAUUUGAAUUGGUAAACUCAGUUUCGAUGGAAAAGCCAAAGUGGAAAAUCGUGGCUAGGCGAAACUAAAAACGUAGCCGGUUCCAUCGGAGACAGUGGCACGGUGUGUCAGUGACCCUGCGGUCGAGGCUGCUGCAGCAGGAAAACGCGAAACCGCCGCGCGGGUAGAUAUCGAUUUGUCUGUGUUCGCUAGGAAAAAAAGUUGGCCGGCCUUCUGACGUUCGCCGCUGAUAUUGCCCGCAGUUCACGCUGACGUGCCAUUUACUCACUCGAACGACCUCCUCACGGCCGUUCGUUCUACCUCCUGCCGUUCCACCUCCUCAUCAGCGUUCCACGAUCGUUCGUUUUAUCGAGGAAGCUCAGGAUGAAAGAUAAUAUCGAGACUGAUUAAAUAUAGCAGAACGUUCCAGCAAGAUUUUCGUCCUUUUAAUGGGAAUACGGGAAUACGAGAAGAGAAAUAUUGGAAUCUUUCGACUUGCGACGGAUCUUAACUCUUUGGCGCAUGGAUGAAUAUGAUCUUUGUUUGAGAGAACAACGCUUGGAUAGGAAAGGAAAAGGCGUAACUACAAGACUGUCUUCUUUUCUUAAACACGGACACAAAUUGCCCAUUGUGCGAUAAUUACACUGAUACAUUGGAGUAAGGCAAUGACGUAAUAAUUGCAAAUGCAAUUCUCAAAAGUCCCACCAUUCGUAAACGUCUCGUCUCCAUCGAAGCAAACCGAGCAAUCUGUUUGUUACCUUUUCUACGACAUUUCCAACAAGUUAGAAAAAUUUACCAAAUGUCCAGCUGGAUAAAUUGUAAAGUACAAAUUAAAUAAAUAAAAACAAAAUUUCCAACAUACAGCAGCUUAUAGAAACAUUUUGUCCACACUGAAGCAACGUAAUCUGCAGCUGCAUUCGCACUGAAGCGACAACGAGGAAUUUUUUGUCGCUUUUUGUUGUUACGUGUUUCGGGACAUUGCCAACGAACAGUAACUUAUAGAAAUAAUUUCUGUACACCGGUGCAGGAUUUCAGUAAACAUGGAACAGCAAGAAGUUGCUUAAUGUCGCUUCAAUGGAGACGAGGCUUAACACGUUUGCUACCAGCGACAUAUGUGUGUAUUUUUUAAUACUUCGCGAUUAGCGCAGAUUUAAUUUUAGUCACUUGGAUUCAAGCGAUUUGAAGUCAUCGCUAAUGAGAACAAGCGUAUACAGAAACUUGGAAAGAUAUUUCAAGCCAAAUAGCAAGUUUACAUCGGUAAAAUGAUUGUAAUUUUAACUUGCUUGAAUGUAAAUAACAAAACGACCAGAUAGUAGAUUAAAUUGUAGUAGAUUAAGUCAUCUGAAUGAAGCUUUGUAAAGUAAAAAGUAUUGACCUUGAAGCAGAUUCUUUUCUUAUCAAGUUCUACAUUUCAUUUUUAAAGUAUCAAGUUUCUUUAGUCACGUGCCAGUACUAUCAAAUGACAUGAAAUUUAAUAAGCUUGGACCAAAUUAAUUAAUACCUGUGUAGAUACUAUAACAAAUACAAUGAUAUGCCAAGUCCUUUUCCA